ACGGCUCAGUAACACGUGGAUAACCUGCCCUUGGGACCGGCAUAACCCCGGGAAACUGGGGAUAAUUCCGGAUAACGCAUAUUUGCUGGAAUGCUUUAUGCGUCAAAAGGAUUCGUCUGCCCAAGGAUGGGUCUGCGGCCUAUCAGGUAGUAGUGGGUGUAAUGUACUUACUAGCCAGCGACGGGUACGGGUUGUGAGAGCAAGAGCCCGGAGAUGGACUCUGAGACAUGAAUCCAGGCCCUACGGGGCGCAGCAGGCGCGAAAACUUUACAAUGCGGGAAACCGUGAUAAGGGGACACCGAGUGCCAGCAUCAUAUGCUGGCUGUCCAGGUGUGUAAAAUACACCUGUUAGCAAGGGCCGGGCAAGACCGGUGCCAGCCGCCGCGGUAACACCGGCGGCCCGAGUGGUGAUCGUGAUUAUUGGGUCUAAAGGGUCCGUAGCCGGUUUGGUCAGUCCUCCGGGAAAUCUGAUAGCUCAACUAUUAGGCUUUCGGGGGAUACUGCCAGACUUGGAACCGGGAGAGGUAAGAGGUACUACAGGGGUAGGAGUGAAAUCUUGUAAUCCCUGUGGGACCACCUGUGGCGAAGGCGUCUUACCAGAACGGGUUCGACGGUGAGGGACGAAAGCUGGGGGCACGAACCGGAUUAGAUACCCGGGUAGUCCCAGCCGUAAACGAUGCUCGCUAGGUGUCAGGCAUGGCGCGACCGUGUCUGGUGCCGCAGGGAAGCCGUGAAGCGAGCCACCUGGGAAGUACGGCCGCAAGGCUGAAACUUAAAGGAAUUGGCGGGGGAGCAC
rnacentral:rRNA from 1 species